rnacentral:rRNA from 1 species
UACGGGGGGGGCAAGCGUUGUUCGGAAUUACUGGGCGUAAAGGGUUCGUAGGCGGCCAACUAAGUCAUACGUGAAAUCCCUCGGCUUAACCGGGGAACUGCGUCUGAUACUGGAUGGCUUGAGUUCGGGAGAGGGAUGCGGAAUUCCAGGUGUAGCGGUGAAAUGCGUAGAUAUCUGGAGGAACACCGGUGGCGAAGGCGGCAUCCUGGACCGAUACUGACGCUGAGGAGCGAAAGCCAGGGGAGCAAACGGG